rnacentral:lncRNA from 1 species
UUGUAAUAAGGGUAUAUAUAUAGGCCGUGAAGCACUAGCUAGGCACGGGUAAGGCUACAUAACGCAAGCACCCGACCUGAUCACCGACCCUGCGAUCGGUCGCGUGCAUGGAGCUGGAGGACGGCGGCGGCGGCGUGGCGACGGAGCCCGACCGUGGCAAUGCCUUCGGCAGCGGCACGGGCUGGCUGCUGGCUAUGAGCGGCGCCGCGAUUGUGGUUACCGCCAUCGGGAUGGCGCUGUACAUCUGCUGCACCUACCAGGGGAAUACUAGCUGCCGGUGCCAAGCGUUCCCGCUGGGUGCUGCCGUGGAGCUCGGGUUGUCCCUGGCCGUCGGGUUCGCCUUCUUGGCCUGCCUCGCGCUCCGCUUGUGCUGCUGCUGCUGCUGGCGGUCCGGCUGCCUCGACGUGCCGUCCCGCGACGUCAUGGAUGCUAUUUAGGUUUAUACUACUCCAUAUUAAAAUAACAUCGAAAUCAUGAUGUAUUUAGUUACUUCGUUUAGUUGGUGCUGUUCUGCAUUAUUGUCUACGUUAUCACUUGAAUGGCUUAUGUAUUUAUUGCACAUCGAAAUCUGUAAACAAAUAAUUCCCUUCGUAUCAAAAUAAGUGUCUUAACAAUUAUUGUAGGAUAGAGGAAGUAUUUUGCAGAUGGAAC